rnacentral:rRNA from 1 species
UACGAAGGGGGCUAGCGUUGUUCGGAAUUACUGGGCGUAAAGCGCGCGCAGGCGGUCUUCCAAGUCAGUGGUGAAAGCCCGGAGCUCAACUCCGGAACUGCCAUUGAAACUGUUAGACUUGAGGAUGAGAGAGGUGAGUGGAAUUCCCAGUGUAGAGGUGAAAUUCGUAGAUAUUGGGAGGAACACCAGUGGCGAAGGCGGCUCACUGGACCGGUACUGACGCUGAUGCGCGAAAGCGUGGGGAGCAAACGGG